UGGCUGGGUGAUUGCUGUGAUGUCACUCAGGCCAUGGCUCAGGUGUGAUGUCACCUCUUUGUCUUUGCCUGUUCCACAGCAGAGAGUGAAUAUUGUGCUGGUUUUGUGCCCUCAUUGCAACAACCCUGAGACAAAUUCUUCACAAAGGAAACCAUUCAGCGGUGGGAAUUCUGUCCAUGUCAAGCUUUUCCAGGGUUGAAUCCUUCUGUACCAUCCUGCUUUUCACUAGAGUGGGCAGAUCUCUCUGGACUGGCCCCACUGCCUGGCAUCCCCCAGGUCACCACUGUGGACAUGAGGGAUCAAACAGCACCAAUCCCAAAAAGGUUGGGCCAAGAGGAAGAAAUGGCAUGGAAUAAACCCCUUGGGAAGACAGUUGUGCUGAUGGGGAUUGAAAUAGGCACCACUGAACUCAUCCCUUUUACCACUCCUGUGCCCACAAGAAUUAGCAACAACUCAGGAUGAGAGGUGGAUGUGUUUUCUGUAGGAAAUAAGGAAAAA